UUGCCUGCUGUUGUGAUCUUCAAAGAUGGAGCUUCCUUUGUUUCUGAUGGUAAGUAAAAGUGGAUAUUGGCCAUAUCAUGGAAUCAGCCAGGCUGGAAGAGACCUCCAAGAUCACCCAGUCCAACCUAGCACCCAGCCCUAACCAAUCAACUGGACCCUGGCACUAAGUGCCUAACAACCAGCCUGUACCUCUCUUGGCACAACUUGAGACUGUGUCCCCUUGUUCUGUUGCUGGUUGCCUGGCAGCAGAGCCCAACCCUAGCUGGCUACUGCACUGCUCCUGUGCACUGCAGCCCUCCUCUGGACCUGCUCCAGCAGGUCCUUGUCUCUUCUGUUGGAGGUUCUGUAGCUGUGUGCAGUACUCCAGGUAGGUCUCACCAGAGCAGGGCAGACUCAUAGACUCAGAGUCAAGCAGGUUGGAAGAGAGCUCCAAGCUCAUCCAGUCCAAUCUAGCCCCCAGCCCUGUGCACUCAACUAGACCAUGGCACUAAGUGCCUCACCCAGGCUGUUCCUGAGCGCUUCCAGACACGGUGACUCUGUGGUGCCACAGCAAAAUACUCCAGGUGGGCCCUCAAGGGUAUUCUUUGAGCUGUCAUGGAAGGGCUGUGCUUGCCUUCCUCUUCGCUCUAUUGCCUUGCAACCAGUCACCCACCAAAGAAAAGUUCACUCAGUGACCUCCUUGAUCUGCAUUUGAUUUAGUUUUACUUUUGAAGCGGCCUGGAGAAGGAAAUUUUGUCAAAGAGAAACAAUUUUAAACUGCUGUUUUGUGGUGUGACCUGUCUGCUUUUGCCACCCCUGUCAAAACACACAAGCCUUGUUUCAAUCCAGGCUCCUAAUUCACUUUGCCCAAAUCUUACUCUCUUAAAAUGUAUUAGAAGGGUUUUUGUAAACCAGUCAGUGCAGAGGCCCUGCAAGAGACUGGAUAUUGUUUUAUGUGCAGCUUACCAUUGGGCAGGAAAGUGCUGUCAGUCACAGUUCCCUUCCCAUGUCACAUUCCCUUCUGGGAGAGGAUUGUUUGUCCUUGCUUUGGGUGAAACUAAUCAGCCAAUCAGCACUGCAUGCUGUGCUCUAAUACACUUUUUGUUCAACAGCUGCAAAUUGCUUUAGCAGCUUAGGAGUGACAUUUCUGGAAAGGUGAGAGACCUUGUCUGGAAACAGUAGAGGGUUAAAAAUAGGCUUCUCUAGGCUGAAAUAAAUGUUAUUGCCCACCUCACAGCAGCAACAGAAGAACACAUUCUGCUUGCUUGCUUGCUUUCUCUUUUGUUGUCAGAGUGUGAAGAUGGUGAUUUGUCAUCCUGGAUAAACAGAGCAAGAUUUCAAGGGUAUCUUCAUGUGGAUGGCUUUACACUUCAUGAACUUGGAGACAGAGGUGAGCUGCUGCUGCCACUAAAGUCUUUGCCAUCUCUUCUACGGAACAGGAGUAACAACUGAGGAGCACUAAGAAGUAACUUUUCAAGCCCCUGAAAUUAUUUACAGUUAAGAUGGACAGUGCCAGUCUGUGUUUGGUGUUGGUGAGACCUGCUCUACUGACAGAAGCCUCAUCCAAAGCCUGCACCAGUCCUUUCCUCAACAGAAAAAAUGAGGAGCUGAACUGCUUUGCCCCAGCCCAGCUGCAGAUCUGCACUCAGCCUCAGCCCCAAGCCCUGGCAGGGUGGGAUGCUUUGGUACCAGGCCGUGGAGCUGUUUGAAAUGCAAUUGCUGCUUGCAGCUGGUUCAGAAAUGGAUUUCCAGUGGCUGUGGGGGCAGAAAUGUCUCUGUGCACACGCUCAGAGGACAGGUCCCUGGAUUGCAGUGCUGCUCCAAUGGCCUGUGGUGGCUGCAGGCAGCCGCGGCCCGGGGAGCCCAAGACUCAGCGUGUGGAAGGGUUGGGAGCAGCCCUGGGUGCCUGCAAGGAUUCGGGAGGUGAGCUGAGCAGGCCCGAGCAGGUCUGAAACCCUGCCACGGAGAGGCACAGGCCCCGCAGCAGUGCCUGCAUUUCAGCAGCUGCCCAUCGGAGCUAAGCACAGCCUCGGCUCAGAGGUUUGCACUUUGCUUUCCACUCCACUGGCCAAGCCAGCCAGAUGUGCAGCAGCAGCAGGAUGGGCACGAGGGCCCCAGCUGCUGCGGUGAAUCCGUCAGCACGGACGCUGGUGCCGCUGCAGCCUGGCCCUGCAGCCUGGCAGGGUGAUCUCCUUUGGCUCGGCUCCUGUGGGCUCCAGCUGCAGGGAUGGAUUUGCCUGCACUCAAGCUGCUGCUGCCAGAGCCCCUCCGUGUCAAUCUGUGCUGCCGUUGGGUUCUGCAGCUCUCUCCAGCAAGCAUGGCAUGAGCUGAAGGAGCAGCAGGAGCAGCAUGGCCGUUCCCCAGGCAGCAGGAGGGUUCAGCCCAGCACCAGCUCAUGCGGGAGGAGCAGAUGCUGAGGAACAUCCCCCACGAGACGCAGGUGGCCAAAGAGGCUGGGUCAGGUGCCAAAAAGGAGACCUUCUUCACCUGCUUCUCCUGUGCAAGCUCUUCUGUCUGUCUGCUGAGAUGUUUCUGCCUGUUUCUCUGGCAGAGAAGUGUUUGCUUUUUUGGCUGGCGAGCUGACCAUCCGUACUACCGUCGCCUUGAAUGCCUCCAACCAGCAGUGUUUGCUGCCAGACAGACACCUGGAGAAGACAGAGGACAUGGUUAAGUUCAUGAAGGAUAUCUUGGAUGGUGCUGCUGAAGCACAGGCUGGUGAUGGACUUCUGCAACGAAGCAAGAGAGUCCUCUAUGAGGCCAAGGCUGCUGUAAUGGAGGUUGGAUCCUCGAAGGUUUUGCUCUGGGUUCUGCGAUGGAGGCAAAGAUGGAGCAGGAGCACUAACUGGAGCUGGUAACGGACCAGCAGCAGCAGCUGGUAAUGGAACUGGUAAUGGAGCAGAAGCUGGUAACGUAGAGUGGAGAGGAGGAGGAGGAAAGCAGCAGAGACUGCCCGGGGGAAGGCAGAGAGUGGGGGCAGGACGGCAGGGGCUGCCCGGGGAAAGGUGGAGGGCAGCGGCAGGAGGGCAGGGAAGAGGUACAGAGCUUUCAGGUGCUGAGCUUCAACAGAAAGACCUGAUGGAAAAGAAAAGAGACUAACUUGUUUAGCAAAAGUACUCUCUGGAAUUUCCCAAGUCGCUUAUUUAUUGAAGGCAGUCAUUUGUUGGUCAUUGUCAUCACGAGAGAGGACCUUUUGGUUUGCGUUAGGGUGGUUUGGGCUUGCCUGUAACUCCAGGCCCCUCAGAAAUUGAUGGGGGGGGAAAACCCCAACCCAUGGAUGUUCUCUUGGUUGUCUUUAACAGAUAAACAAAGAGCAAGUGCGACUGAAAGAGCUUUGCAGAAAGCAGGAGUCAGCCACCUGCCACCCAUCCCCUCCUGACCCCAACCCCAGAAACCCAAAGCAGCACUUGGCACAGGAGGUCUCUCGUGUUGCAGUCUCACCUUCAAGCCCUGGAAUACUUUGCUUCAGCCAGCAGCAUGGGGUUGGAUACCAACAGCAGAGUCGACUUAACCUGUGACUAAGUGAACUUUAAGUGUUCUGACUCCACAGUGGAACCUGAUAAAGAAAGAUGUGAAUGGAAGCAGGCUCUGACUGCUCUGUGUAACUGAUGAGAAGCUUUCUGAAGGAGGUGAAUUUGUUUUACAGCCCUUCCCUCAGCUGGUUACAGAUCUUCAAGGUAGCUGCUGGUGCAGUGUCUGUUGGAGACUGUUAGCCACUCUGAAGGAGGGAGUUAGUGGAGCAUCAUAGGAACAUGUAGAGAGAUUGGUCAGGAAAAGGCAUUUGUGUUACCCUUUUGAGUCAUUUGAGUCACUUUUAUUGUAAUCCCAUGGCUGAGAGCAGGACUCCUUUGUGUCCAGGGUUAAAAUCUUCAAGGAGAAACAGUGCCAAGGCUCUGAAUUGAUUGGGACUUGGUGCUGCUAGUUACAAUGUAGGACAGUUAAGGCAGUCCUGUGUUUUGUGAUUUGCCUUUUUUCCUACCGUUCUAGUUUUGGCUCGGGCUAGUGUGAAGUGUCUCUGGAACGAGGUCCUUGUGGUCCCUUCUGACCCUGACUGAUUCUGUGAUUCCAGCAAGCAGCUUUUGACUUAAAAACCCCUGAGGUCACUGCAGCACCUCUCUAUGGAAUAAAAGAAAGGGAUUUUGCUGCACUGCUGAGAACUGUUUCCAGCUCUGAGCCUUUGUUGUUGUGGUUGUUUUUGGUUCGUGUUUAUAAACAGCAGUAGCUAAGCAAUCCUCUCUGAGCUAUGGACCAGAAUCUGCUGCAUCCUGUGCAAGAAGCAGAUCCCAGUGUGAUCUGGUGCAGCUGUAGCACUUCCUAACUGCUAGGUUUGGGAGGAGGGCAUGUGUCUCAGUCGUUUCUGAGCUGUGAUAGCAAUCAGGUGUCUGCUUAAGUCUUGACCCUCUGCCACGUGCUGCCACGUUCACCAGAUCUUUCUCCCGGCUUCAGGGAGAGAAGGAGUGUCCAGCUCCCAGAGUGGGUGUCAGAAGCGAUGUGAAGUGAAAGGGGUUUGCUGAGGUCAUGUAGGAAGUUGUGUGAGGGAAUCUGGCAGUUUGGUUUUUGAUUUCUUCAGUCUCUAAAGUUUUUCUUGGAGCAGCUUCACUGCAAUCCUUUUAAAUGCACAGAGUAUCAGCACAGGCCCUUUUAGACAGUCCUCCAGCUUUGCUGCAGGUCCCUUUCAGAUACUGCAGCGUAGCUCGAAGCUCUGCCUUCUCUUCUGCAGCCUCCACAGCCCCAGUUCUUUCAGUCCUGCUUCCCAGGAGAGGUGCUGCAGUCCUCUGCUCCUCUUUGUGGCCCUCAUCUGGCAGAAGAGCUGUGUUUUUCCUCUAGCUCCUGCAGAACGGCCUUAAUUCUGGUGUCAGCAGCUCCCCCUGUGUCUCCUCUGCUGUCUGUAAAUCCCUCCAGAGUAGAUCAAGGAAGUGCUGAGUAGCCCCAGCUGGAGUUGAGAGCUGUCCCUAUAAAGUGAGUGUGUAGGAGUGGCAGAGCGUGGGCUGUGCCUUGCGUGCGGUGUGCUGUUGGCAAAGGCAAUAGGCAGAGCGGCGCUGGGCUGAAGGCGCUGCCCCCGGCCGGGCGCAGAGGCGCUCUCGGUUGUGUGUGCUGCCCUCCGGUGUUUGCUCGUGGGUACUGCAGUUGUGUAGCGGCUGCGGUGUGGCGCCGGUGCUGAGUGCUGCCACCGUGUGUUUGCUUGUCCACACUGCAUUUCCUCAGCCGCGGCGGUCGCCCGUUUUCCUGCCUCGUCUCUAAAGGCCGUGCACGAUUGAAGUGGCUGAAAGCUGAGGGGAGGGGAGGAGAGGAGGGGAAGGUGAGAGGUGGGAGGGAGAGCUGAGAACUGGUUUGGAUUUGUAAGUAUUGGAGUGAGGAGUUAAAAGCGGCAGGCAGGGGGGCGGUCCGGCGCUCGGGCCGGCUCGGGGUGACAGAUUUGGAGCUUCCUUUGGAGGAGGAGUUCAGGAGGUGGCUGCUGAUUGGUGGAUUGUGGUGGGCGUGGUUUGCCGCUUGUUCUGCCUCCCUCAUUUGCAUACAUUUCAAUACCAGGCUCUGCCUUUGAGUACCUUGGAGAUGUGUUUGGGGUUGGGGAGGGGUUACCGGGAGGGUCAGCAGCUGAUUGGUGGAUCCUGGGGGGGCUGUGGGCAUGGUCACCCCUGUGCCCCGCCCCCUCAUUUGCAUAAAUGAAGGCAGGGUCCACCUGGUGGAGUUUGGUGCUUUAUUGGGGGGCGAAACUGGUUAGGAUCGGGAGGGUCAGCAGCUGAUUGGUGCGUCCUCUGGCGUGGGCGGGGCCUGCCCCUGCCCUGCCCCGCCCCUCCGAAGCGCUCGAUGGUCUCCAGCACAGCCCCAGCAGCUCCAGGAAGGAGGAGACCUCCCCCCGCAGGCCUCCAGCCCCCCGGGAGACCCAGAGCCUGCGGGGGGAGGGCUCAGGGACCCCCAGACCCUCCCAGGGACCCCCAGACCCUCUCCGGGACCUCCCAGGGACCCCCAGACCCGCCCACUGGCCUCCCAGAGACCCCCACUCACCUCCUUGUAUGCCCCCACUAAUCCCCCAGCCCCUCCCCGUCCCCGCCCAGCGCCCCCCAGUGCCCACUCAGGCCCUCAGCUUGUCCCCGCAGCACUGCAGCCUGGCCUGGGGGCGCUGCUGAGGCCCUCACCAAAUCGCCACCGCUCGCCGCAGCCUGUCAGUGGCCAUCUGCAAGCUGGCACUGCCCUCACCGAGUGGGCACUGAUCUCACCAAGAUGGCAUUGAGCGCGACGGGUUAGAGGGGACCUUAUCAAUAUGGCGCCGAGCGCGACGGACUGGAAGCGACCUCACCAAUACGGCGCUCAACGCCGCGGUCCUGGCGCUGCCCGCAGCAAGCUGGCAAUGCCCUCACCGAGUCGCCACCGCUCGCCGCAGGCUGGCAGUGACCCUCUGCAAGCUGGCGCCGCCCCCCGUGAGCUGGCGCUGCCCGCUCUUAGGCUGGCAGUGCCCUCACCACGACGGCGCCGCCGGCAGCGCAGGCUCGGCGGUGACCUCACCAAGAUGGCGCCGACGUCCCGCCUGCGACGCUGACCGCACCAAGGUGGCUCCGGGGGCGGUUCCCGCCGCCCCUCCCCUCUCGCUUGCGCAGAGCGCUCAGGCCAGGCCGCAGGGAGGGGCGCAGGGGACAGAGCCACUCUGAAGGCUGCCCGGGGGGCGUCUGGGCCCCGGAGGUGGGAGCUGAACUGCUUUGCCCCAGCCCAGCUGCAGAUCUGCACUCAGCCUCAGCCCCAAGCCCUGGCAGGGUGGGAUGCUUUGGUACCAGGCCGUGGAGCUGUUUGAAAUGCAAUUGCUGCUUGCAGCUGGUUCAGAAAUGGAUUUCCUGUGGCUGUGGGGGCAGAAAUGUCUCUGUGCACACGCUCAGAGGACAGGUCCCUGGAUUGCAGUGCUGCUCCAAUGGCCUGUGGUGGCUGCAGGCAGCCGCGGCCCGGGAGCCCAAGACUCAGCGUGUGGAAGGGUUGGGAGCAGCCCUGGGGUGCCUGCAAGGAUUCGGGAGGUGAGCUGAGCAGGCCCGAGCAGGUCUGAAACCCUGCCACGGAGAGGCACAGGCCCCGCAGCAGUGCCUGCAUUUCAGCAGCUGCCCAUCGGAGCUAAGCACAGCCUCGGCUCAGAGGUUUGCACUUUUGCUU